rnacentral:tRNA from 1 species
GGUCCCGUAGCUCAGCUGGAUAGAGCAGCGGACUUCUAAUCCGCAGGUCGCAGGUUCGAAUCCUGCCGGGAUCGCCA